UACGAAGGGUGCGAGCGUUGUUCGGAAUUACUGGGCGUAAAGGGUUCGUAGGCGGGAAUGUAAGUUGGAUGUGAAAACCCCGGGCUUAACCUGGGACGUGCAUCCAAAACUGCGUUUCUUGAGUGUCUGAGAGGGUCGUGGAAUUGCUGGUGUAGGAGUGACAUCCGUAGAGAUCAGCAGGAACACCGGAGGCGAAAGCGACGACCUGGCAGAACACUGACGCUGAGGAACGAAAGCGUGGGGAGCAAACAGG
rnacentral:rRNA from 1 species